AGUGGAUGGGGAGCAACCUAGUUGUGCGUGUGUAAAGGUAGUGCAAAGAAAAGCGAUGAUCAUGUUGAAAAUCAAUUCCCGGUACCCGAAACCGACACAGGUGGGCAAGUAGAGAAUACUAAGGGGCGCGAGGUAACUCUCUCCAAGGAACUCGGCAAAAUGACCCCGUAACUUAGGGAGAAGGGGUGCCACCGAGAGGUGGUCGCAGUGAAGAGGCCCAGGCGACUGUUUAGCAAAAACAUAGGUCUCUGCAAACUCGAAAGAGGAGGUAUAGGGGCUGACGCCUGCCCAGUGCCGGAAGGUUAAAGAAGUUGGUCAGUCUUAGGAUGAAGCUAGCGACUGAAGCCCCGGUGAACGGCGGCCGUAACUAUAACGGUCCUAUGGUAGCGAAAUUCCUUGUCGGGUAAGUUCCGACCCGCACGAAAGGCGUAACGAUCUGGGCGCUGUCUCGGAGAGAGGCUCGGCGAAAUAGGAUUGUCUGUGAAGAUACGGACUACCUGCAUUUGGACAGAAAGACCCUAUGAAGCUUUACUAUAGCUUGGAAUUGUGUUCGGGCUUCCUGUGCGCAGGAUAGGUGGGAGGCGUAGAAGGUAUUCUUGUGGGGAUACUGUAGCCAACGGUGAGAUACCACUCUCAGGAGGCUAGAAUUCUAACUUAAUUAAGGACAGUUUCAGGUGGGUAGUUUGACUGGGGCGGUCGCCUCCAAAAAGGUAACGGAGGCGUACAAAGGUUCCCUCAGACUGGUUGGAAAUCAGUCGGAGAGUGCAAAGGCAGAAGGGAGCUUGACUGCGAGAAGUACAGUUCGAGCAGGGUGGAAACACGGUCUUAGUGAUCCGACGGUGCUGUGUGGAAGGGCCGUCGCUCAACGGAUAAAAGUUACUCUAGGAUAACAGGCUGAUCUCCCCCAAGAGUUCACAUCGACGGGGAGGUUUGGCACCUCGAUGUCGGCUCAUCGCAACCUGGGGCGGAAGUACGUCCCAAGGGUUGGGCUGUUCGCCCAUUAAAGCGGUACGUGAGCUGGGUUCAGAACGUCGUGAGACAGUUCGGUCCAUAUCCGAUGUAGGCGUGAGAAUAUUGAGAGGAGCCUUCCUUAGUACGAGAGGACCGGGAAGGACGCACCGCUGGUGUACCUGUUAUGAUGCCAAUUGUAAACGCAGGGUAGCCAAGUGCGGAGAGGAUAACCGCUGAAAGCAUCUAAGUGGGAAGCCCACCUCAAGAUGAGUAUUCUGGUGUAAGGUCACGGGAAGACGACCCGUAAAUAGGCACGAGGUGGAAGUGCAGAGAUGUAUGAAGCCGAAGUGUACUAAUAGACCGUCGGCUU
rnacentral:rRNA from 1 species